GUGGGGAAUUUUGGACAAUGGGCGCAAGCCUGAUCCAGCAAUGCCGCGUGCAGGAAGAAGGCCUUCGGGUUGUAAACUGCUUUUGUACGGAACGAAACGGCUCUGGUUAAUACCCGGGGCUAAUGACGGUACCGUAAGAAUAAGCACCGGCUAACUACGUGCCAGCAGCCGCGGUAAUACGUAGGGUGCAAGCGUUAAUCGGAAUUACUGGGCGUAAAGCGUGCGCAGGCGGUGCUGUAAGACAGGCGUGAAAACCCCGGGCUCGACCUGGGAAUUGCGCUUGUGACUGCAGUGCUGGAGUGCGGCAGAGGGGGAUGGAAUUCCGCGUGUAGCAGUGAAAUGCGUAGAUAUGCGGAGGAACACCGAUGGCGAAGGCAAUCCCCUGGGCCUGCACUGACGCUCAUGCACGAAAGCGUGGGGAGCAAACAGGAUUAGAAACCCUGGUAGUCC
rnacentral:rRNA from 1 species